rnacentral:rRNA from 1 species
GACGAACGCUGGCGGCGUGCUUAACACAUGCAAGUCGAACGAUGAACUGGAGCUUGCUCCAGGGAUUAGUGGCGAACGGGUGAGUAACACGUGAGUAACCUGCCCUUGACUCUGGGAUAAGCGCUGGACACGGCGUCUAAUACCGGAUACGAGCUUCCGCCGCAUGGCCAGGAGGUGGAAAGAAUUUCGGUCAAGGAUGGACUCGCGGCCUAUCAGCUAGUUGGUGAGGUAAUGGCUCACCAAGGCGACGACGGGUAGCCGGCCUGAGAGGGUGACCGGCCACACUGGGACUGAGACACGGCCCAGACUCCUACGGGAGGCAGCAGUGGGGAAUAUUGCACAAUGGGCGCAAGCCUGAUGCAGCAACGCCGCGUGAGGGAUGACGGCCUUCGGGUUGUAAACCUCUCUUAGUAGGGAAGAAGCGAAAGUGACGGUACCUGCAGAAAAAGCACCGGCUAACUACGUGCCAGCAGCCGCCGUAA